GAUGAACGCUGGCGGCGUGCCUAAUACAUGCAAGUCGAGCGAACAGACGAGGAGCUUGCUCCUUUGACGUUAGCGGCGGACGGGUGAGUAACUCGUGGAUAACCUACCUAUAAGACUGGGAUAACUUCGGGAAACCGGAGCUAAUACCGGAUAACAUGUUGAACCGCAUGGUUCAACAGUGAAAGACGGUCUUGCUGUCACUUAUAGAUGGAUCCGCGCCGCAUUAGCUAGUUGGUAAGGUAACGGCUUACCAAGGCAACGAUGCGUAGCCGACCUGAGAGGGUGAUCGGCCACACUGGAACUGAGACACGGUCCAGACUCCUACGGGAGGCAGCAGUAGGGAAUCUUCCGCAAUGGGCGAAAGCCUGACGGAGCAACGCCGCGUGAGUGAAGAAGGUCUUCGGAUCGUAAAACUCUGUUAUUAGGGAAGAACAAAUGUGUAAGUAACUAUGCACGUCUUGACGGUACCUAAUCAGAAAGCCACGGCUAACUACGUG
rnacentral:rRNA from 1 species